rnacentral:rRNA from 1 species
GACGAACGCUGGCGGCGUGCUUAACACAUGCAAGUCGAACGAAGAGCGAUGGAAGCUUGCUUCUAUCAAUCUUAGUGGCGAACGGGUGAGUAACGCGUAAUCAACCUGCCCUUCAGAGGGGGACAACAGUUGGAAACGACUGCUAAUACCGCAUACGAUCUAAUCUCGGCAUCGAGGAUAGAUGAAAGGUGGCCUCUACAUGUAAGCUAUCACUGAAGGAGGGGAUUGCGUCUGAUUAGCUAGUUGGAGGGGUAACGGCCCACCAAGGCGAUGAUCAGUAGCCGGUCUGAGAGGAUGAACGGCCACAUUGGGACUGAGACACGGCCCAGACUCCUACGGGAGGCAGCAGUGGGGAAACUUCCGCAAUGGACGAAAGUCUGACGAAGCAACGCCGCGUGAGUGAUGACGGCCUUCGGGUUGUAAAGCUCUGUUAAUCGGGACGAAAGGCCUUCUUGCGAAUAGUGAGAAGGAUUGACGGUACCGGAAUAGAAAGCCACGGCUAACUACGUG